UACGUAGGAGGCAAGCGUUGUCCGGAAUUACUGGGCGUAAAGCGCGUGUAGGUGGUGGGACAAGUCUGCUGUGAAAGCGCCUGGCUUAACCGGGCGAGGUCGGCGGAAACUGUCCGACUAGAGGACGGUAGAGGGGGGUGGAAUUCCCGGUGUAGUGGUGAAAUGCGUAGAGAUCGGGAGGAACACCUGUGGCGAAGGCGGCCCCCUGGCCGGCCCUGACACUGAGACGCGAAGGCGUGGGGGAGCGAACGGGGAUUAGAAAACCCCGGGUAGU
rnacentral:rRNA from 1 species